AGGGAAUAUUGGACAAUGGGGGCAACCCUGAUCCAGCCAUGCCGCGUGAGUGAAGAAGGCCCUCGGGUUGUAAAGCUCUUUUGUCCGGAAAGAAAAGCUUCGGGUUAAUACCCCGGGGUUCUGACGGUACCGGAAGAAUAAGCACCGGCUAACUUCGUGCCAGCAGCCGCGGUAAUACGAAGGGUGCAAGCGUUACUCGGAAUUACUGGGCGUAAAGCGUGCGUAGGUGGUUGUUUAAGUCUGAUGUGAAAGCCCUGGGCUCAACCUGGGAAUGGCAUUGGAAACUGGGCAGCUAGAGUGCGGUAGAGGGUAGUGGAAUUCCCGGUGUAGCAGUGAAAUGCGUAGAGAUCGGGAGGAACAUCUGUGGCGAAGGCGACUGCCUGUACCAGCACUGACACUGAGGCACGAAAGCGUGGGGAGCAAACA
rnacentral:rRNA from 1 species